CUGAGGAAUUCCUUUAACAUAUGGUUCAACACAUUGUUGCUUCAAAGCAUCUAAUAAUGUUACUAUUAAUUUGUCAUUAUGUUCAUAAUAUUGUGUCAAAUGUUUUUUCCGUGUUAGAUAGUAAAAAGGCAGAUAUUCAUACAAGAAACAUAGGCUGCGAGUCAUCAUUGGUAACUGCGUACGUUUCUACGCUAAGCCCAGAAAGACUCGAUACGUGAACCGUUGCCGACUUCAAUGUUCUUCAGCAAGGUUUCCAUGUUGGUUAGUACCUCUCACGACGUAGCAGUGAGCGGCCUUGACUCUGGCUCUCUUGGUGAAUGUCUAUACAAGCGAACGCACACAGCCAUUCGUGUCCUCCUUGUUCUCUUGUCUUACCUAACAAAUGGCGAGUUUUUCCCUCUCUAUUUCUCCCACCGCGCGAGCGUUGUGCUCGCUAAGAGACGAAAGCUAAAAUGGGCGAAUGAGCACUGCCUCGUUUCCUUCCAGAGAUCAGAGUGUUAGACUGGUUAAGCGAGCGUGCGAAAAGAGGAAGUGGAGAGACGUAGACGAAGCGAAUCCGUACGAAGCGAAGAAAAAGAAACAGAUUCACGUAAGCACGUAGCUCAAGUUAGUGCUUAUGUAGCAGCGUGGAAACAAGAAGAGAGAGCCGUACAGAGAAAGACCGAGAGCGAGCGAAAGAAACGACGAAGCCUCGAUGCGUAUCGGAGACCGACCUCGCAGUGCUCAACGAAGCUUCACGAGACGGUAAUCGUGUCCGGUUUUAUUCGCCAUCGGCGAUAGACCUCGCAUCCUAGCGAUAUCAACACCGGUCAUAUCGCAAAAUCACAUCGUUGUAGUUAAUUGCAGCGGAAUUGCUAACGUCAGCAUCAUCGCGCGGUUCGCCGAUCAGAGCUGUGCAUUAACAUGCUCGGGUGUGCCUCCCGCGCCCACUCUCGGCCUUGAGCCGAGAACCUGGAUCGCUGGCAAGAGAACUAGAGAAUCGCGGUCUCAAUUGAGAGACAUAGAGAGCAAUGAAGGUGAAGAAGAAGAGAGGAGACGAAAACUGGAGAAUAGAAACGAGAGGGAUGAAAAAAACGGGACGAAAGAAGGAGAUAGAGAUAAUUAUAACUUUUGAAAUAUUUUAUCGCAAGACAUCAGUUCUGACGUAAUAUGCAAAUACGAUUCAAUAUUUCAUCCUGUACCUAUUGUAUUUAAAUCCUAGAAGAAAGUAAUAAAUAAAAAUUUCUACGUCCAUCGACAAAUAAUAUAUACAGGCAGUAAAGCCUCAAAAAUUUCAAGCUAUCAGAAAUAUGUAUGAAAAAGUCACGAUUCUAAAAUGUAAUCCUGAUAUUACUAUUUAAGUGUGAUUAAAAUCGCACAAUUAUCGUACUAAAAAUUCUAACUGUAAUAAUUUGUGCGAAAGUUUGAUAUGAUCCACUAUGAAAAGUCUAUCUAAAAAAAGGUCAAAUAAAAUUAGUAUUACAUAGAAUAACUCAUCAUUUUUUGCAUAAUUAUUUCCAGAAACCAAUGGUUGUUGAAAAAAAAAUUCGAGAUUAAAAUUAUUUUUUUCGCAAAUUACAUAAAGAAGGGUAUUAUAUUCUAAAGGAAGUAAAUCAAUUUAUUUCGCGGCAAGGAAUAAUCUUUUUUUAUUAAAUCAUAAGAAAGAUGAGGUUUAAAUCGAACUGAUUAUGGAAUAGUGUUUACUUUGUGUCUUUUCGAUAAGAAGACAGAUGAACAGGAAGACAGACCGGUCAGUUGGUCGGUCGGUCGGUCGAUCGCUCGAUUUGCUUCGUGUUCAUCACAAAAGAGGUGAAACGAGAUUCUAACUAGAAGAGAAGGUUGAGGUUUGAGUUCGAGGCCGGCUCUCUCACUUUCCCACAAUUGUACCUACCUACUUACGCGUACCCGCAGAGAUAUAUGUACAUAUUCUACGUGCGUCAUAUGCGUAAUGUAUGCUGGUAGAGCAGCGCUCGGAAUUAGUUGCACAUUUUGGGCCGAUUCAGGAGACGACGCCUCCUGUUGUCCCACUACCACAAUCCAGCACUUAGCUUGCUGCCCCAUGACAGCUCCACUACUUCCCUAUUUAAUUCGACCGCCUACUAAAUAUCGAAACAAGCCUUACUAGACUUUAUACUCCUACAUAUAAAAAUUUGACUGAAAAAAGAUCGAGGUGGCGGCCGAGCCGCCGAUAGCUCUGGCUCAGGAGCGUUUUAUGUAAGAAAUAGGCUGAAUUGUUUAGACAUCUUUCAG